rnacentral:rRNA from 1 species
UACGUAGGGGGCUAGCGUUGUCCGGAAUCAUUGGGCGUAAAGCGCGUGUAGGCGGUUCGGUAAGUCCGCUGUGAAAGUCGGGGGCUCAACCCUCGGAAGCCGGUGGAUACUGUCGGGCUAGAGUACGGAAGAGGCGAGUGGAAUUCCUGGUGUAGCGGUGAAAUGCGCAGAUAUCAGGAGGAACACCGGUGGCGAAGGCGGAUCUCUGGGCCUUACCUGACGCUCAGGCGCGAAAGCUAGGGGAGCGAACAGG